UGCCCUUGUUUGGUUUGGUGGAGGC
rnacentral:piRNA from 1 species